AUUGAACGCUGGCGGCAUGCUUUACACAUGCAAGUCGAACGGUAGAGGGGCAACCCUUGAGAGUGGCGAACGGGUGAGUAAUGCAUCGGAACGUGCCCAGUAGUGGGGGAUAGCCCGGCGAAAGCCGGAUUAAUACCGCAUGAGACCUGAGGGUGAAAGCGGGGGAUCGCAAGACCUCGCGCUAUUGGAGCGGCCGAUGUCAGAUUAGCUAGUUGGUGGGGUAAAGGCCUACCAAGGCGACGAUCUGUAGCUGGUCUGAGAGGACGACCAGCCACACUGGGACUGAGACACGGCCCAGACUCCUACGGGAGGCAGCAGUGGGGAAUUUUGGACAAUGGGCGCAAGCCUGAUCCAGCCAUGCCGCGUGCGGGAAGAAGGCCUUCGGGUUGUAAACCGCUUUUGUCAGGGAAGAAAUCUUCUGGGCUAAUACCCUGGGAGGAUGACGGUACCUGAAGAAUAAGCACCGGCUAAUUACGUGCCAGCCGCCGCUGUAAGAC
rnacentral:rRNA from 1 species